AACGAACGCUGGCGGCAGGCUUAACACAUGCAAGUCGAGCGCCCCGCAAGGGGAGCGGCAGACGGGUGAGUAACGCGUGGGAAUCUACCCAUCUCUACGGAAUAACGCAUGGAAACGUGUGCUAAUACCGUAUACGUCCUUCGGGAGAAAGAUUUAUCGGAGAUGGAUGAGCCCGCGUUGGAUUAGCUAGUUGGUGGGGUAAAGGCCUACCAAGGCGACGAUCCAUAGCUGGGCUGAGAGGAUGAUCAGCCACACUGGGACUGAGACACGGCCCAGACUCCUACGGGAGGCAGCAGUGGGGAAUAUUGGACAAUGGGCGCAAGCUUGAUCCAGCCAUGCCGCGUGAGUGAUGAAGGCCCUAGGUUUGUAAAGCUCUUUCACCGGUGAAGAUAAUGACGGUAACCGGAGAAGAAGCCCCGGCUAACUUCGUGCCAGCCGCCGCCGUAAUAC
rnacentral:rRNA from 1 species